AGUGAACGCUGGCGGCAGGCCUAAUACAUGCAAGUCGAACGGCAGCACAGCAGAGCUCGCUCUGUGGGUGGCGAGUGGCGGACGGGUGAGGAAUACGUGGGAAUCUGCCCAGUCGUGGGGAUAACGUAGGGAAACUUACGCUAAUACCGCAUGCGCCCUUCGGGGAAAGCCGGGGACCUUCGGGCCUGGCGCGAUUGGAUGAGUCCACGUCGGAUUAGCUAGUUGGCGGGGUAAAGGCCCACCAAGGCGACGAUCCGUAGCUGGUCUGAGAGGAUGAUCAGCCACACUGGAACUGAGACACGGUCCAGACUCCUACGGGAGGCAGCAGUAGGGAAUAUUGGACAAUGGGCGCAAGCCUGAUCCAGCCAUGCCGCGUGAGUGAAGAAGGCCCUCGGGUUGUAAAACUCUUUUGUCCGGAAAGAAAAGGCGCCGGGUUAAUACCCUGGUGUCCUGACGGUACCGGAAGAUAAGCACCGGCUAACUUCGUGCCAGCAGCCGCGGUAAU
rnacentral:rRNA from 1 species